UCCCCGAUAGCUCAGUUGGUAGAGCGGCAGACUGUUAAUCUGUAGGUCCCUGGUUCGAGCCCAGGUCGGGGAGCCA
rnacentral:tRNA from 1 species